GACUCCGCCCUCUCUGUCCUUCGGUGGAGACUCCGGGAAAAACCUGCCUCCCAGUCUGCCCUCUCUCCGUCUGUCUGUGCUUGUUUUUCUACGUUUAUCCCUGUCGCUUUCCCCACUUAUUCUGCAGGCAUGGCGCGCCCCCAGUGCCGGCUUGGUGCCAGGGCUGGGAGAUCCGGGGGUGAAUCGUGAGCCCGGCCCACAGCGAGCUUGCAGUCUAGAGAUCAAGGCAGUCUUGUCCACAACCUGCUGUCACAUAAAGCAAAUGUAGCUGGUGUAGCACCAGGGGCUGCAAUCAAGUGCGGUGGGGCGGCAAUAGUGACCACGGAAAUAAUCAGAAUUGCUUUUAAUUCAGCUCCUACUAUAUUCCCGCAUCCCUGAGCCUCACAAUCAUCCUCCAAGGAUGUUCGCUUUGGCAGAUGAUUAGAAUACGUGCUGACUUGAUAGCCACAACUGUCCUGAUAAGAAAGUACGCCGGCCUGGCUGGGCAUGGUGGCUCACGCCUGUAAUCCGAGGAUUUUGGGAGGCCCAGGCGGGCGGAUCACUUGAUGUCAGGAGUUCGAGACCAGCCUGUCCAACAUGGUGAAACCCCGUCUGUACUAAAAAUACAAUAAUUAGCCGAGCAUGAUGGCAUGUGCCUGUAAUCCCAGCUACUCGGGAGGCUGAGGCACGAGAAUCGCUUGAACCUGGAAGGCAGAGGUUGCAGUUACUUUCCCGACAUUGCACCACUGCACUCCAGCCUUGGCGACAAGAGCGAAAUUUUGUCUCAAAAAAGAAAGAAAGAAAGCACUCAGGCCUGACCCAGGACCACAGCAGUGGACAUGGAGGGAGGAGGCUGGGGGUAGUUGGAUUGGUAUGAUAUGUCACUGAGUAAACGAAGGAAGGGACAGAAAGAGAACUCCAAAGUGUCAAAAGCCUGGACAACAGAGAGAAAGCAUCCUUGUCCUAUCAUUUAAAGCACCUGUUGGGCCAAAUAGGGAGCACCUUUCAGAAUCCAUGUGCACAAGAUCUCAGCAAUUCUACGUCCAAGAAUGUAACCUACAUCCAAGAAUGUACUGGAAUUUAAUUCCACAUCCAAGAAUCCCCAUAGGUAGCAAAGAUGUAUAUUUAAGGGUAUUCUCUCAGCUUUGUUUUUAUGUUAGGAGAUUGGGAACAACCUAAAUGCCCAUCAGCUGGUGACUGGCUAGGUUAACUAUUCACAAAUGGAAUACUAGGUAGCCUCCUAAAAGAGGAAAGCAAUUCUACAUAUCCUGAUACAGUGUGGUCACCAGAUAGAUGGCUAAGAUACAAAUAAAACAAACAAGUUGCAGUGUUAGAGUAUGCUAUGUAUCACUCCUUUUUAAGGACAAAAAGAGGAUAUACUUUAACUUUUUAAGAUACCAAAGUAUUUAUUUAUUUAAAAUUUUUUUCACAGAAUUGUUAUAGCAUGUAGAACCAAAAAUUAUUUACAAAUGAAAUUAUUCAAUGUCUGAGAUUUGUGUCAAAAUAAUGGUAUGGGGGUUUAGUGAGUAAGCAUGUAGGUAGAACAAGAUUGUCCAUGAGCUGAUAGUUGUUGAAGCUGGGUGAUC
ensembl:lncRNA novel transcript